UCACAACAAAUACCAAAUCAUGUGAAAAAUGAGAAUCAAGAGGUCUUUCAAAGGUUGUAAUGUGGCUUAGGUUACAAGAAAGGAUGUGAUUAAGAGAAUUCGACAAAGUUGCCUAUCCUAAGGGAGCAUUCCCAAACAUUCAACUCUACACAAUUUCCCUUUCUUUGACCCCUAUCUUUUUUCUUUUUAUUUUUACAUCCACACAACCAUGAGCAUUUUCUUUGCUUUCUUUUUUCUUUUUUCUUUUUUUUUUCUUUGCUCUAUGGUUUCAAGGGUGAUUUCUUUUUCUUGCUUCUUUUCAAAUAUUCACCCUUUCAUGAAAACUCACUUUUCUAAGUUCUAAUCAACUUUUCACUUUACUCUCCCCAACUUU
rnacentral:lncRNA from 1 species